rnacentral:rRNA from 1 species
GUGGGGAAUAUUGCACAAUGGGCGCAAGCCUGAUGCAGCCAUGCCGCGUGUAUGAAGAAGGCCUUCGGGUUGUAAAGUACUUUCAGCGGGGAGGAAGGCGAUAAGGUUAAUAACCUUGUCGAUUGACGUUACCCGCAGAAGAAGCACCGGCUAACUCCGUGCCAGCAGCCGCGGUAAUACGGAGGGUGCAAGCGUUAAUCGGAAUUACUGGGCGUAAAGCGCACGCAGGCGGUCUGUCAAGUCGGAUGUGAAAUCCACGGGCUCAACCUGGGAACUGCAUUCGAAACUGGCAGGCUAGAGUCUUGUAGAGGGGGGUAGAAUUCCAGGUGUAGCGGUGAAAUGCGUAGAGAUCUGGAGGAAUACCGGUGGCGAAGGCGGCCCCCUGGACAAAGACUGACGCUCAGGUGCGAAAGCGUGGGGAGCAAACAGGAUUAGAAACCCUAGUAGUCC